GAUGCCCCUCCUUCUUCGACUAACCCGCUGCAGAGGAGCCGUGAGAGCCAGGAACUUGUGAGUUUUGUAUGUCCACUCAGGCAUCAUUCACACCUGGUCUGUAGGAAGUUCCUGUCAGAAGGAGGGGGGCACCGCGAGGGCGUCCAGGGGCGGAAGGCGGUGCCUUAGUGCCUCCCUCCUUCUGACAUUGUAAAAGAACCCUAACUGUAUUUUUUUUUUAAUAGUAAUAUAGAUGUAUAUGUGUGUUUUAUGUCCUCAGAUGAGGUUUGAAGUGUCUGUGUGGUGCAGCUGGCCUGGUCUGUCUCUAUACAGUCGAGGCUGCACCCACCUAUAAAAAGGUGGAGGCUCACCAGGACAUGCACACCUCACAAGUUCCUGGCUCUCUCGGCUCGGUUGAAGACGGGUUUCUUCGAGAAGGGGAGGGCAGUGAGGCACAGUCCCCCGCCCCCCGACGCCCCUCGCGAUGCCCCUCCUUCUUCGACUAACCCGCUGCAGAGGAGCCGUGAGAGCCAGGAACUUGUGAGUUUUGUAUGUCCACUCAGGCAUCAUUCAUACCUGGUCUGUAGGAAGUUCCUGUCAGAAGGAGGGGGCACCGCGGGGGCGUCCAGGGGCGGAAGGCGGUGCCUUAGUGCCUCCCUCCUUCUGACAUUGUAAAAGAACCCUAACUGUAUUUUUUUUUUAAUAGUAAUAUAGAUGUAUAUGUGUGUUUUAUGUCCUCAGAUGAGGUUUGAAGUGUCUGUGUGGUGCAGCUGGCCUGGUCUGUCUCUGUACAGUCGAGGCUGCACCCACCUAUAAAAGGUGGAGGCUCACCAGGACAUGCACACCUCACAAGUUCCUGGCUCUCUCGGCUCGGUAGAAGACGGGUGUCUUCGAGACGGGGAGGGCAGUGAGGCACAGUCCCCCGCCCCCCGACGCCCCUCGCGAUGCCCCUCCUUCUUCGACUAACCCGCUGCAGAGGAGCCAUGAGAGCCAGGAACUUGUGAGUUUUGUAUGUCCACUCAGGCAUCAUUCAUACCUGGUCUGUAGGAAGUUCUUGUCAGAAGGAGGGGGGCACCGCGAGGGCGUCCAGGGGCGGAAGGCGGUGCCUUAGUGCCUCCCUCCUUCUGACAUUGUAAAAGAACCCUAACUGUAUUUUUUUUUUAAUAGUAAUAUAGAUAUAUAUGUAUAUGUGUGUUUUAUGUCCUCAGAUGAGGUUUGAAGUGUCUGUGUGGUGCAGCUGGCCUGGUCUGUCUCUAUACAGUCGAGGCUGCACCCACCUAUAAAAAGGUGGAGGCUCACCAGGACAUGCACACCUCACAAGUUCCUGGCUCUCUCGGCUCGGUUGAAGACGGGUUUCUUCGAGAAGGGGAGGGCAGUGAGGCACAGUCCCCCGCCCCCUGAUGCCCCUCCUUCUUCGACUAACCCUCUGCAGAGGAGCCGUGAGAGCCAGGAACUUGUGAGUUUUGUAUGUCCACUCAGGCAUCAUUCAUACCUGGUCUGUAGGAAGCUCCUGUCAGAAGGAGGAUGCACAGUGAACAGUUGAACCCCAGUCGGCAGCGACAGAUGGCCACCCCUUCCUGAGCCUGGUUCUGUCGGAGGUUUCUCCCUGUUAAAAGGGAGUUUUUCCUCCCCACCGUCGCCAAGUGCUUGCUCAUAGGGGAUUUUUGGGGCUUUUUUUUAAAACCAACCGCUGAUAAGUUCACUGGCAUCAAUUUUAGGACUCAGCAAAUAUUUAAAUGGAUAAUUCGCCAUCAAGUGAGGAAUGAUCCAUUUAAAUCAUAUUUGAGAGUCACAUUUAUUUGUAUAUAAGUAUGAUUUCUUGGACAAUAAGGCCAAUCACAGACUAAUUUGGACAAUUGGGAAAAAUUAAAUAAAUAAAAA
ensembl:lncRNA